CCUANGGGUGGCAGCAGUGGGGAAUUUUGGACAAUGGGGGCAACCCUGAUCCAGCCAUUCCGCGUGAGUGAAGAAGGCCUUCGGGUUGUAAAGCUCUUUCAGCAGGAACGAAACGGUGGCCCCUAAUACGGGCUACUAAUGACGGUACCUGAAGAAGAAGCACCGGCUAACUACGUGCCAGCAGCCGCGGUAAUACGUAGGGUGCGAGCGUUAAUCGGAAUUACUGGGCGUAAAGCGUGCGCAGGCGGUUCUAUAAGACAGAUGUGAAAUCCCCGGGCUUAACCUGGGAACUGCGUUUGUGACUGUAGGACUCGAGUGUGGCAGAGGGGGGUGGAAUUCCACGUGUAGCAGUGAAAUGCGUAGAGAUGUGGAGGAACACCGAUGGCGAAGGCAGCCCCCUGGGUCAACACUGACGCUCAUGCACGAAAGCGUGGGGAGCAAACAGGAUUAGAUACCCGUNUANUC
rnacentral:rRNA from 1 species